rnacentral:lncRNA from 12 species
CUCUCCUGAGCUGCCCUUGCCCACCUGCAGACAGACCCUGCCCCAGGGAGGGCCCUGCAGACAGGCAGGUUUCUGUGGUGCUGGGCGAGGGCACAGACAGUGGGAUGGGCUCUGUGAGCCUGGCGGCACGCGGGCCCCUUGGCUCGCCGCCCGGCCCCCGGACUCCGCGUAUCGGGCCUGGGACCCGCGCGGAGGAGGGCGCGAAGGCGGGACCCCGCGCGAGCGAGGGCGCCCCGCGCGCCCUUCGCUACCGGAGCCCCCUGUCGGCCCCGGCCCGCCGAGAGAGACCUCGGAGGAGGAAGGAAGGAAGGAAGGAAGGAGGAGGACGACGCGCCGCCGCACCCGCGCGCCGGAGCGCCGGGCCGGACGGCCCCCUUCGCGGUUCACGGUUUUUCCGGUUCGAUUCGAUUCGAUCGAUAGAUCGAGCGGAGCGACAAAAGCUUGUGUCGAGGGCUGAUUCUCAAUAGAUCGCAGCGAGGGAGCUGCUCUGCUACGUACGAAACCCUGACCCAGAAUCAGGUCGUCUACGAAUGAUUUAGCGCCGGGUGCCCCACGAUCAUGCGGUACGCGACGGGGGAGAGGCGGCACCGCAUCCGUCCGCCCCUCCGGUCCCGACCACGAGCGGCGCUCCGCACCGGGCCCGCCCGCGGGAACGGGCGGGCGGCCGGCUAUCGCGAGCCCACCGAGGCGCCGGCGGCGCUGCGGUAUCGCUACGUCUAGGCGGGAUUCUGACUUAGAGGCGUUCAGUCAUUAGCCCGCAGAUGGUAGCUUCGCACCAGUGGCUCCACAGCCAAGGGCAAGCACCAGGGGUCUGAACCUGCGGUUCCUCUCGUACUGAGCAGGAUUACUGUUGCAAAAACACAUAAUCAGGAGUGUAAAACUAACCUGUCUCACGGCGGUCUAAACCCAACUCACGUUCCCUAUUAGUGGGUGAACAAUCCAAUGCUUGCUGAAUUCUGCUUCUACUAAGAAAUCGCCGCAUGAUACAAAACGCGAAGAAGGAAGCGGCAGAGCACCAGAGUCCUCAGCGCACCAUACCGGUUUUAAGUGUCUUCUGGUAAGAAGGAUUAUCAUCGUCAGCUUCUUUUGUUA